CUAAAACUUUAAUGUUAUUUGAAAACAUAAUUUGGCACCAAGUAUUCUUUAGGUUAUAAUCUAAGUUGCUCAUAAAAUGUAAUCUAGGCCUGGAUCAUUUUACUUUGAGGAGAAAACUUAUCACUAAAUAAUAAUGAUCUUAAGUCUGUUCUUUUGCCACUUCCCAGAGCUCUCUCCUAAGGCACUGUGGAAAAGUCAGGAGUAAAUUAGACUCCCACAUCUAGUAACCAAAACACCAUCAUCUCCAGCAUUACCACAGUCAAGUAUGCAGCUCGUCAUAAAUAUUUACACCUUGCAGGGUCCUUUGUGCACAACUCUGAGAGACAAAUGGCAUUUCCAGUAAUAGUUUAUUGAUUUCCAAAUGCACAGGGGCACCAAGUCCGAACAUCCUGGGAUAGCAGUAAAUCUCUCUUACAAAAUAAUUUACAGUAUGAAAAUGAUAUACUGAAACAUUAACCCAAACGUGUAAUUCCCUUGAAAGAUUCAGUGUUCCCUUGUUUAAUGUAAAGGGUGGAAGGGGAAGAUUCCUAAGGAGGGAAUGUGACUGUGCACAGGAAAAUAGGCAGAGGACAAUGGAUUCAUUGGUUCUCCCCAUUCAUGCAGUGUGGCCUGUCACUGUAGAAAGACUGGUCAGGUUUAACCCUCAUUAAGUAUUAAUCUGCUGUCCCCUCAAAGUCAUAUCAAGCCCAGUAUGGGCUCCGUGGCUUUUUUUGCACCAAUGUAUCCAUAAGUGUCUCCACUUAUUUUCAUUUUUCUGCUCUGGCCCUCGUUCUGCUGUUUCUGGUAUGUUCUCAGUUCCAAAUUAUACUAUCUUAUCUUACCAGGCAGGCCUCCAGAAUCAAGAACUGCCUGAGUCUUAUGGUUUCUGGAAUGGGACAGGGUAGGGGGCUUCAUAAGCACUGCUGGAUAAAGGCAAUAAUAAUGAGACUGAAGUCUCCCAUAUGGGCCUUCUUUUUCUCUUAGAGCUGGGCUGGACUCAAUCCAUAAUGAGAUUUUUUUAAACAUAAAAAUCUGAUGUGAUCAGCACACAGUAAACGUGCAGUUAAUUUUCUUAUUGAGAAGCAUGUAUUGCACAGCCAUUAUAUGAAUGUGGAAUUUCAGGAAUGGCAAGAGAAUAUUUUCUACUUGGGGAGAGAGGACUUCCUAGACCCUGCCACAACUACAAGGUCAUGAAUUCUGCAUUUGUGCCCUUAGGUCUAACUGGAGUAGUUAGACUCUCAGGUCACCAAAAUGGCUGGGCAUCCAAGUUUCCCAUCUUAUUAGACAUCCUGGAGGAGGGCUGGAGUGCAAUUUCCUUCAGGGCUGUCACUUUGACUCAGUGCCUUAGGAGCUAAUGACCUUUGCUAGGGAAUUGCUCUUCCUGUAAGCAAGUACCUAAGCCCCAACUAUAUGGUGACACUUGUAAUUAGGGCUGACAGAAAUCUUUGAAGUAGUACGCAAGAUAAUGAAGGGGCUGCUUUGAGUUUUCCUUAGCUCUCAAAUAUUGUGUGUGUGUGUGCGGACAUGUAUGUAUGUAUAUACAAGCUUCCAAAUCCUAAAAUCUUUUUAAUCUUCUGAUACUUAAAUUUUUUCGAGAGUGGCCACUGGUCCUUCUUUUAGGGUACUUUUGUUGGAUAUGAUUGGUGGUUGUAAUUAAUGGUAUGCCAAAUUCUCCAGUCUUUGCAGAGAUAGGUAAAGCACCAAAAUUGUCCUAGCCAUUUCUUGGCCAUCAGUUUGAGAGAAAAAUGCUUUUUUUUUUUUUUUUUUAACACCUCAAACUCCCCUCAGCCCCAAUAUCCUGGCAUCUUUAGUGAGUCAGGACAAU
rnacentral:lncRNA from 1 species